AUUCCGCAGAGUCCCAGCACAGAGCAGAGUAGAACAGAGUAGGAUUGGAGCUGAGAGAUAAUGGGGUCUCUGUUGCCCAGGCUGGAGGACAAUGGCGUGAUCUCAGCUCACCGUGACUUCUGCCUCCUGAGCUCAAGCAAUUCUCCUGCCUCAGCCUCCUGAGUAGCUGGGACUACAGCUGGAAUAAAAGCACCAUGAAUGCAGGAAUUUUGCCAACUUCUGGCACAGAGAUGGCUUUCAAAAUCUAUUUGGUGAAUGAAUGAAUGAAUUGCAUUUUCUUCCUAAAUUUCACAAUUGAGCGGUCCUAAUCUGCAUAUCCAAGAGCAAUGUAUGUGAACCUACGUUUCCACAGCCUCACCCACAGAAUGUGUGCUCAAACAUUUGGAUUUUUGCCCAUCUACUAGAUCUCACCCCACAGGCCUUGGAAACCUGAGGCAGUAUUCUUCUGGGAUGUUUCCAACUAGGCUUCCCAUGAGGAUGUUAGAGCCAGCCUGGCUGGUGAAUUUUACUUCUCUCACCUCUCAGAGGUAAGAGGUCUGAGAGGCUCAGGCCCUUCCAGCUUUUGAGGAUUCCAGCAUAGUAGAAACAUAAAAAGGUCCAAAGGGAAUUACAAAAAUAAUCUAUUUUCAGUUCUUAUACUUAACAAGUCAAUUCUUAUUAAAAAAAUAAAUCAAUCAAACUUUUGUUUGAUAUAAUUAUAGAUUCCAAGGAAGUUGUAAAGAUAGUACAGGAGGUCCCUGUGCAUCUUUCACCCAGUUUCCUCCAGUUUUAUGCCACUAGAGUACAAUAUCCAAACCAGGACAUUGACAUUGGAGCCAUAUGCAUGUAUAUUUCCAUGUCAUUUUAUCUCAUGUGUAUGCUCAUGUACCCAUCACUUCAAUCAGGUUAGAGACUAGACCAUCCCUCAUGCUGCCCUCUGAACUACCAACCCUAACCCGUGGAGGUCAUUAAUCUGUUCUUUAUCACUACAAUUUGGUCAUUUUGAGAAUGAAUAAAAUCACACAGUAAUGCAAGCCUUUUGAGACUAGCAUUUUUUCACUCAGCAUAACAUACUUAAGAUCCAUCAAUAAUUCUUCCAUUUUAUUGCCGAGCGGUAUUCUACAGUAUAGAUAUACUAAAGUUUAACUCUUCAUCUAAGGUAGGACAUUUUGGUUGUUUCCAGUUUUGGCUAUUACAAAUAAAGCUUCUAUGAGUAUUCACCUACA
rnacentral:lncRNA from 1 species